rnacentral:rRNA from 1 species
CCUACGGGCGGCUGCAGUGAGGAAUUUUGGGCAAUGGGGGCAACCCUGACCCAGCGACGCCGCGUGCAGGAUGACGGCCCUUCGGGUUGUAAACUGCUUUCGGGUGAGAAGAAAAGCCGGUUUUACCGGCUGGGACUGUACCACCAGAAGAAGCACCGGCUAACUACGUGCCAGCAGCCGCGGUAAUACGUAGGGUGCAAGCGUUAUCCGGAAUCACUGGGUGUAAAGGGUGUGUAGGCGGAUUUGUGCGUCAGAGGUUAAAUAUCCAGGCUCAACUUGGAAAAUGCCUUUGAUACGGCAAAUCUUGAGUAUAAGAGAGGAAGAUGGAAUUCCUGGUGUAGAAGUGAAAUUCGUAGAUAUCAGGAGGAACACCGGUGGCGAAGGCGGUCUUCUGGCUUAUUACUGACGCUGAGGCACGAAAGCGUGGGGAUCAAACAGGAUUAGAUACCCGAGUAGUC